AAUUCUUGUGCAUCCUAGACAAGAUCAAAUAUGGAAUUAUCCAGAAUAUAAGCAGUACAUUUAAUGAAGCUCAAAAGAUACUUUCCUCUGAAGACAAUGGGAAGGAACUGGAAAACCUCUGAAGUUACAGAAAGUUCCGUUUUACAAAGAUGUUUGAGAAACAAAGAUCUUUACCAAACUUUUUAAAAAGUUAAUGCACAAAACUGAAGGCUGCUGAAACAAAGAUGUUCAGAAAGAACAAACCACCAAAAUUACAUUAAUUUGAAGAUAAGUCAGCUAUUAAAAGCCCAGUUGUUAGCUCAUAUGCAAUCUGAAUUAUUGCUUUUAAAUAAAUGGUUAUACUAAGGAA
rnacentral:lncRNA from 1 species